UAAGCAUAUCAAUAAGCGGAGGAAAAGAAACCAACAGGGAUUGCCCUAGUAACGGCGAGUGAAGCGGCAACAGCUCAAAUUUGAAAUCUGGCGCAAGCCCGAGUUGUAAUUUGUAGAGGAUGCUUCUAGGUAGCGACCGGUCUAAGUUCCUUGGAACAGGACGUCAUAGAGGGUGAGAAUCCCGUAUGUGACCGGCCCGCACCUUCUACGUAGCUCCUUCGACGAGUCGAGUUGUUUGGGAAUGCAGCUCUAAAUGGGAGGUAAAUUUCUUCUAAAGCUAAAUACCGGCCAGAGACCGAUAGCGCACAAGUAGAGUGAUCGAAAGAUGAAAAGCACUUUGGAAAGAGAGUUAAAAAGCACGUGAAAUUGUUGAAAGGGAAGCGCUUACAACCAGACUUCUGGGCGGUGUUCCGCCGGUCUUUUGACCGGUCUACUCGCCGUCCCGAGGCCAACAUCAUCUGGGACCGCUGGAUAAGACCUCAGGAAUGUAGCUUCCCUCGGGAAGUGUUAUAGCCUGUGGUGAUGCAGCGCGUCUCGGGUGAGGUCCGCGCUUCGGCAAGGAUGUUGGCGUAAUGGUUGUCAGCGGCCCGUCUUGAAACACGGACCAAGGAGUCUAACAUCUAUGCGAGUGUUCGGGUGUCAAACCCCUACGCGUAAUGAAAGUGAACGGAGGUGGGAAGCGUAAGCUGCACCAUCGACCGAUCCUGAUGUCCUCGGAUGGAUUUGAGUAAGAGCAUAGCUGUUGGGACCCGAAAGAUGGUGAACUAUGCCUGAAUAGGGUGAAGCCAGAGGAAACUCUGGUGGAGGCUCGCAGCGGUUCUGACGUGCAAAUCGAUCGUCAAAUUUGGGUAUAGGGGCGAAAGACUAAUCGAACCAU
rnacentral:rRNA from 1 species